rnacentral:rRNA from 1 species
AUUGAACGCUGGCGGCAGGCCUAACACAUGCAAGUCGAACGAGUGGCGGACGGGUGAGUAAUGUCUGGGAAACUGCCCGAUGGAGGGGGAUAACUACUGGAAACGGUAGCUAAUACCGCAUACCAUCGGAUGUGCCCAGAUGGGAUUAGCUAGUAGGUGGGGUAACGGCUCACCUAGGGGACGCUCCCUAGCUGGUCUGAGAGGAUGACCAGCCACACUGGAAGUGAGACAGGGUUCAAAGUCCUACGGGAGGCAACAGUGGGGAAUAUUGCACAUUGGGGGCAAGCCUGAGGCAUGCAGGCCGCGUGUAUGAAGAAGGCCUUCGGGUUGUAAAGUACUUUCAGCGAGGAGGCGUUACUCGCAGAAGAAGCACCGACUAACUCCGAGCCAGCAGCCGCGGUAAUA